UAAGAUUUUGUAAAACCAUCCUUCUUGCCAA
rnacentral:piRNA from 1 species